rnacentral:rRNA from 1 species
GAAUAUUGGACAAUGGGGGCAACCCUGAUCCAGCAAUGCCGCGUGAGUGAUGAAGGCCUUAGGGUUGUAAAGCUCUUUCACCGGGGAAGAUAAUGACGGUACCCGGAGAAGAAGCCCCGGCUAACUCCGUUCCAGCCGCCGCGGUAAUACGGAGGGGGCUAGCGUUGUUCGGAAUUGCUGGGCGUAAAGCGCGCGUAGGCGGAUUGUUAAGUCGGGGGUGAAAUCCCGGGGCUCAACCCCGGAACUGCCUCCGAUACUGGCAGUCUUGAGUCCGAGAGAGGUGAGUGGAAUUCCGAGUGUAGAGGUGAAAUUCGUAGAUAUUCGGAGGAACACCAGUGGCGAAGGCGGCUCACUGGCUCGGUACUGACGCUGAGGUGCGAAAGCGUGGGGAGCAAACAGG